rnacentral:rRNA from 1 species
UACGAAGGGGGCUAGCGUUGCUCGGAAUCACUGGGCGUAAAGCGCACGUAGGCGGGUUGUUAAGUCGGGGGUGAAAUCCUGGAGCUCAACUCCAGAACUGCCUUCGAUACUGGCGACCUUGAGUCCGGGAGAGGUGAGUGGAACUCCGAGUGUAGAGGUGAAAUUCGUAGAUAUUGGAAGAACACCAGUGGCGAAGGCGGCUCACUGGCCCGGUACUGACGCUGGAGGUGACGGAAAGCGGUGGGGAGCAAACAG